GUGCCUGCUUCAGCGGCAUAUAUACUAAAAUUGGAACGACACAGAUUAGCAUGGCCCCUGAGCAAGGAUGGCACCCAAAUCCAUGAAGCAUUCAUAUUUUUG
ensembl:snRNA U6 U6 spliceosomal RNA